rnacentral:rRNA from 1 species
UACGGGGGGGGCAAGCGUUGUUCGGAAUUACUGGGCGUAAAGGGCUCGUAGGCGGCCCACUAAGUCCGACGUGAAAUCCCCAGGCUUAACUUGGGAACUGCGUCGGAUACUGGUGGGCUUGAAUCCGGGAGAGGGAUGCGGAAUUCCAGGUGUAGCGGUGAAAUGCGUGGAUAUCUGGAGGAACACCGGUGGCGAAGGCGGCAUCCUGGACCGGCAUUGACGCUGAGUGAGCGAAAGCCAGGGGAGCAAACGGG